UGUCAUCAAGAGGCUUCUAGGGAGAGUCAGCCAAUCCCAGACAAGCCCACUAAUUUAAAAGCCACCAGUCCCUUUCCUUUGACUUCACUCUCUGUAAUUCCUUUUCCUUAGAAGGAUUCAACUUCAUCAAUCAUCAUUCUCUUUGAAUUCAGACUUCCUGAAACAUCCAUUAUUCUGAUUCUUAAGAACUUGAGGAGGAGGAGGGAGAGAAUCCCACAGCGAGAGAGAGAGAGAGAGAGAGAGAGAGAGAUGGCAAUGGCAUGGGGCUUGACUCUGUGGAUGGUAAAUAUGGUGUGGCUUGCAGUCAGUGGAUGGGUUUCUUCUUGCUUGACUGUUGCUGAUGUAGUUGCUGGCUCUAUUAGAACUGGUGAUAUUGGCCCUUUUCAUGUUGGCUGAUUCUAUUCUCUCAAUUUCGAUCAUAAAGACAAAAAGUAUGAAGAAGGUUCAGGACAAGAAUGUUGGAUGGAAGUUGGAGUUCUCCAAUUCAUCUUCAUUUCAGAAGAAUUUGGUUUGAUUAGUUGUUUGGAAUCCCAAUUUGAUAGCAAUGCCAAAUGCUUUGAAGUAUAAAAUGUUUGGAAAACUGAGUCAAUUUUUCUUUUUAAAAAAUUUAUGGCAUUGAUGAUUGAAUUGUUGAUAAUAAUGAACUGUACAUAUGUUGGUAAUAUCAUAGAUACAUGAUUUUGCCUAGUAAUAGCCGCAUAUGUUGAACUUGCAGAGACUCAUAUUCAACUCCCCCUCCUUCUACUCCUGUAUUUAAAAAAAAUUGUAAAUAUAUCAUAAAAUGCUGAUAAUGAUUUA